ACCCGAGCAACAGACAGUCAUGCCAUGGGCCUGGGAUUUGCAUUUUGAACUUUUUGUAUAUCAGAAUAAAAAUACCUCAAACUUCAGUUAGGCACCACAAAAAUUAUUAACAAAUAACCUGCAAUUUUUUCAAACUUAAAUUCACCCAAUAAACUCUUGAGCCAUUGUUUUCAAGCUUUUUUCUUUCCCUAAUGGAAGUUAUUAUCUUCAUAUUCACUUUCAUAACUAAUCACUCCAGUACGUACAUGCAAUUUCCUGUGGUUUAUUAUAAAUUCCAGAAGGCAACUCUGUUGUUCAAUGUUACUACAAAGUGUACAACUUUUUUUAUUACCAGGACAAAGUAAUUUUGGGGACAGAUUACCCUUUCCCACUUGGGGAACUGGAACCUGGAAAAUUGAUUGAUUCGAUGGACGAUUUUGACCAUAAACUGAAGGAUAAACUCAAGGCUGGAAAUGCUCUGGAAUUUUUGGGUCUUAGCAGAAAACAAUUUGAAUAAUUAUGAAGAUACUAAAGAGGGUAAACUAUGGAAACAGUGCUGGAUCCUUAGGGAUGCUUCUGUUGGCAUGUGCAAUUGUACAGGUGAAAAAGAAAUUUGACAAGCAUCUAACAGUCUCUCAUAGGUACUGGAAAUGAGUAUGCACAGGUAUUGCUGUGCAUUUGAGGAUUUAGGCUGUUUAAACAAUUCUGAAAUCCCUGCUUUCAUAAUAAAGGAGAGAUUGCAACUUUUGCAGUUGUAAUAAGAAUCUCUGAAUUAUAAUGAAUGCCAUGUUAUUAGGACUUGAUUCUCAGGAAGGAAAGAGCUGAGAAAACUAUAUAGCCAUUACAUUUCAGUCUUUGUUAUGAGCAAUAAACAGAAUUUGAAAGAAUCUUAAAACAGAAUUUAAUCAGAACUUUGUUGAUGCCCAAUAAAAGGCAACACUUGUCUGUAUCCACUGCUGGGAAGUGCAUCAUGUCACACUCAGCUCAGCACUACAAGGGUGUGCACUGAUGCUUUGUCAGUGUUGUGACAGGAUGAAAAAGUCUGUGUGGGGAACGUUACAUUUCAGCUGCCACCUACACCACUGGCAACUUAUUCAUCAGAAACAAUCUGGACAAUAUGGUUGUAGGUGCAGAAAUAAUGUAUUUUGUGUGGGUAAUACUUGAUAUGUCACUGUCACUAUCAAAAUAAAUACUAGUGUUUAGCAA